rnacentral:rRNA from 1 species
CCUACGGGAGGCAGCAGUGAGGAAUAUUGGUCAAUGGGCGGAAGGCUGAACCAGCCAUGCAGCGUGAAGGUCAGUGCCCUAUGGGCGUUAAACCUCUUUUGUGAGGGAGAAAUAAUGGUCACGUGUGGCCAGACGAGAGUACCGUACGAAUAAGCAUCGGCUAACUCCGUGCCAGCAGCCGCGGGAAUACGGGGGAGGCAAGCGUUAUCCGGGUUUAUUGGGGGUAAAGGGUGCGUAGGCUGGGGGGUAAGUCAGCGGUGAAAUGCCCCCGCUCAACGGGGUGAAGUGCCAUUGAUACUGGCUGGCUGGAAUGCGGAUGCCGUGGGAGGAAUGUGUGGUGUAGCGGUGAAAUGCAUAGAUAUCACACAGAACACCGAUUGCGAAGGCAUCUCACGAAGCCGCGAUUGACGCUGAGGCACGAAGGCGUGGGUAUCAAACAGGAUUAGAUACCCGAGUAGUC